rnacentral:lncRNA from 1 species
GGAUAAAACUUGGCUUUUCGUGGACAAGGACCGUGAUCCAGGAGUUAAAUCGCUCCUUUUAAGGCCGUUCUCUCCCAGCCCUGUGAGAAGAGGUAAUUUUGCAAAUUAGCCCAAGAACCCUAAAUGAGUUAACCCCUGUGAAGCAGGAGUACGUCUCGCUCCACCACCAAAGGUUUAGGCCUGCACGUUCCAGACCCUUCUGCUGCCUUCUCCCUCUGGGCCUGUUCACGUCACUCCAGCUCUUCUCCAAGGAGCCGGCUGGGUCUGGCCGGAGACGCUGCCAGCUCCACGGAGCCGUCAGCCUUCAGAGCAGCACCUUGGGCCAGGAAACACGGACAGGGGGAGUUCUGUGUGCGACUAAUGGACCCCAGAUAGAGCCACUCUUCAGUCACUGCCGUCACUUGAAAAUGCAUUUCCAGUUGACAAUAGCCGUCUGCCUAUAGAUAGCUCCACGCAAGAUGGCUGGUCAGGCUGCUCUCCCAGAUGCCUGGGUCAGCAAUUUCCAAAGCAUCCAGUCAGCAGUUCCUGCUUCCUCCAGCAAAGUCUGGCUCUCUCCUCCCAUCUCCCAGUCCCAGGACAGGGUCCGGGCCUAGAGGGGACAGUGGCCGCCCCAAUCCGUUGCCAACAGCAGGCCCCUCUCUCUGCGCUGCCUCCAGGCCCCCAGCAUCCACUUUUUAAAGGUGCCACCCGUGCCACCAGGAAGUCUCGUGUUCAGAAGUGUUCCCCAGUCACAGUGCCUGGUCACCUGCAGGAGGCGCACCUGUGCUGCCCAGAUGCCGACAAAGCCCAGAGCGAGCAGGCAACUCCCCACAGGACUCAGUGAACCAGGUUUGAACCCAGGUCGGCUGAUUUAUGCCCAUGUGUGUCUAUGCUGUUUAUAUGCGGGAACACACGUGCAUAUGGCUGUGUGCACAUAUAGGUGCACACAUAACUACGAGUGUUUGUGCGUCUGUGAGUGUAUGUAGGCAUAUGCACACAUGUACCUGUACACGCCUGUGUGUUCACGUGUGCAUAUGUGUGGG